AUAAGCCACCCAAUUUUCCAUUUACUUCCUCUGCUGUAAACAUGUGGAAAAUGAAUCAAUACCUGCCCUUAUUCCUUAUUUCCUCUUGUUUGUUCUUCAUUUCACAUUCUCAAACUAUUUCUAAUACUUCCUCUCAACAUCGUUGCCUCCCUGACCAGAGCUCUGCUUUGCUGCAACUGAGGAAAGAAUUUGUUGAGAAGAGAAUUUAUUAUGAUGAAUAUGAUCUGUUUGAUUACUAUAAUGGUUCGUAUCCAAAGAUGAAGUCUUGGAAGGCAGAUAGUGAUUGUUGUUCCAAUUGGGAUUGGGUCACAUGCGAUGCACACAAUGGCCAUGUCAUUGGCUUAGACCUCAGCAAAAGCUGGCUUUGUGGGCCUCUCAAGUCUAACAGUAGCCUCUUUAGGUUGCACCAUCUUCAAAAACUCAACCUUGCCCUGAACAACUUCUCUUCCUUCACCACAAUCCCAUCUGAGUUUGGGCAGCUUGUGAGGUUGACCCAUCUUAAUCUCUCUCGUUCCUUCUUACAUGGCCGAAUCCCGUCCGAAAUUUCAUGGCUCUCCAAUUUGGUUUCACUUGAUCUCUCUUUCAAUUAUUUUCAAUACUUUGUUGCUGCUGAUUAUCAUUAUAAAUAUUUGAAUCUCAGAAGAAAUGAUCUAGAAGCACUUGUCCAGAACAUGACAUAUUUGAGAGAACUUCAUCUAGACUACCUGGACCUUCCAUGGUCACUACCUCAAUCCCUCGCAAAUUUGUCUUCCUUGACUUCUCUUUCUCUGUCUUGGUGCAUUUUGCUUGGCGAAUUUCCCUCAGAUAUUUUCCUACUGCCCAAGAUACAAGCCAUUGAUGUGUCAGCUUACUGGCCCUCUCCAAUUCCAAAAUAUCUCUUCAUCACAAUUAAAUAUCCUGGGAUUGAGUGGAAACAAAUUGGAUGGACCGGUUCCAAGGUCAAUUGCCAAUUUCACUAAGCUACGAGAGCUAUAUCUUUCUUCGAUCAACCUAAAGGACAAGAUGGAGUUAAACAUAUUCUUCCAGGCUAAAGAGCUUCAAUAUCUCGAUCUUUCAGGUAACAAUUUGUUGGUUUCAAAAGGAAAUAUCAAUUCAAGCCACCACAAAUUUUCAGGUUUGUAUUUGUCUUCUUGCAAUUUGCGUGAAUUCCCUGAUUUCCUAAAAGCCCAAAAUAAAUUGAAUACAUUAGACCUUUCCAACAACAAAAUUGAAGGUAAAAUACCCAAAUGGUUUUGUAAUGUUGGAAAAGGGACACUACAAUACCUGAAUCUUUCUUUUAACCUUCUCAGCGGUUUUGAACAACCGCUAAAAGUUCUUCCUUGGAAAUUCAUUGUCUAUUUAGAUUUACAUUCCAACAUGUUGCAAGGGUCACUCCCAAUUCCCCCAUUGUCUACAUCAUAUUUUUUUGCCUCAAACAAUAAUCUAACCGGGAAAAUCCCUCAAAUGAUUUGUAAGGUGAAUUCCCUCCAAGUCCUUGAUAUUUCUAACAACCAGCUGAUUGGUCAGAUUCCACAAUGUUUCGGUCACUUUAGCAAUUCUCUUUUAGUAUUGAAUAUGAGAAACAAUUUCUUUCAAGGAAACUUGCCUAAAUCAUUCAUGAAAGGAUGCAGUUUGGUGACACUUGACUUAAGUCACAACCAAAUACAGGGGAAGAUUCCACGAUCAUUAGCACAAUGUCGAAUGCUAGAGGUCUUAAAUCUUGGAAAUAACAACAUUAAUGAUGCAUUCCCCUUCUGGUUGCAGUCUUUGCCAGAGUUACGAAUUCUUGUCUUGCGAACAAAUGGAUUCCAUGGUCCUAUAUGGACACCUCAUACCAGUUUUGGCUUUUCCAAGUUACAUGUCAUUGACCUCUCUCACAACAAUUUCUUUGGUACGUUACCAUCAGAAUACUUUAAAACUUGGAAUGCAAUGCUAAUGGUCCCUACCAAAGAUAACUCACAACCUGAAUACAUGGGAAAUCAAUUUAAUUAUUAUGAAGACUCAAUGACAGUAGUGAAUAAGGGGUUAGAAAUAUUUUUGGUAAAGAUCUUGACCAUCUUCACAGCUAUUGAUCUCUCCAAUAAUAGGUUUUACGGAGAAAUUCCGAAUAGUGUGGGAAACUUAAAGGGACUAAUUUUACUCAAUUUAUCAAGCAAUAGCUUCAUAGGCCAUGUCCCUUCAUCCUUAGGGAACCUAACUUCACUUGAAUCGUUGGAUCUUUCUCAAAACAAGCUUUCAAGUGAAAUCCCUCAACAACUAAUAGGCCUUACAUUUCUUGAAUAUUUAAAUUUGUCUCAUAAUCAACUUAUUGGUCCAAUUCCACAAGGUGGACAAUUUUGGACAUUUGAAAUUUCAACUUUUGAGGGAAACUUGGCAUUGUGUGGCUCUCCGUUGCCAAAGAAAUGUGGAAUUGAGCCACCAACUUUUGAAACAAGGCAAGAAUCGUCAAUAGUAGAAGGAUUUGAUUGGAAAGUGAUUGUGAUAGGAUAUGCCUGCGGAUUGAUGAUUGGACUAGUUAUUGGGCAUUUUGCCACCUCAAGGACAGAUUGGUUUGUGAGAAAUUUUUGAGUGCACUUACGAAGGUGAAGAUGAAGACAAGUAGAGGCAGUUACUCUUGAUUUAUAGUGAUUGUAAUAAUUGUACCUUUGUGUGUAAUAAUACGGAUUGUCACCAUCAAACAGUACAUGGCCAACCCAAUCCAGGCCUUGAUAUCUCUUAUAGCACCUUCCAAGAUGGAGCUGAAGGGAGGGAAGAUAGUAGAGUUGGUCAAAAAUUUGUUAAUGUAUCAAUAUCAAAGAUGAAGUUCCAUCAUCCGGUACUAGAUACUUUCUCCCUAAGGAAAUCUGAUCAUAUUAGUCCGCAUAAACAGCAUAUGGAUAAGUUGACGUGCAUGCUUACUGAUUUCCAGGCAGACCCAAGUUGUGAUGCAUAUAUAACUUCACCAAUUUGGAUAUCAUCAACAAUUCCAGCUUAUUGGAUAUGGCAAUUUCCUAGUGAAUUUGAGGCUUCCUCACAUCAGAAUGUUUAUUGCAAUAAAUGUUAAAGUAUCUGUGAACUUGAGGGGGAUGCUUCCAUAGAUGAGAUUCUUAACCAGCAGUUUAAAAAUUAUUCAUCCCUUUCAAAAACCCGUUUAGAAGUGAAAAUGGUUCAGUCACUUGCAUCAAUAUGGGAGGAGUAUGAAAGGACUGGAAUGCAUAAGGUGACAAUGCCUCCUAAUCCUGGCCUACCAUCUCCACAGGAUGUUCUUAAAACUCUUUGGCUAAGUCUUGAAUUUGAGAACAAACUUAUUGAAUUUUGUAGUGAAGCAAAAAACUCUUUGACUCUGACUCCAUUUGAGAAAAAUUGUAAAGUUAAAGCAGUCAAUGACAUCAUCAAUUGAUGAGGGAAACUUGGUUGGAAUUGGACAUGUUAAGCCUAACAAUAUAGAUGGAGAACUUUUGAAGAAUGCUAAAGAAAAAUAAAUAAUUGGAUCUUUGUCACCACAAGUUUUCAAUAUGUGUAGAAGAUGGUCCAAUACUCACUAAAGGGAGAAAUACAAGUAUUGAACCAUUGUCUUGAGGUUGAAUAAAUGCGGUCAUCAGCAAUUAUUGAAACAUUAGAUCCAAAGGCUGCAGAUAAGGAAGCCCUCUGUCUUCUACAAUGGCUAGCCACAUCUCAGGCUGAUGAAGAUGAACUUGCUCGUGAGACUGGAGAAGGCCAAUAAGGAUUGUGAGAGCAAGUUUCAGAAGGAGUGCCAAGACAUUCUUAAUUCAAUUGCUGGACAGCUUACUUUGAAGCUGAUAGCAAAUGUAACAUAUGGCUAUACAGCUGCUGGAUUUAGUGGUUGCAUGCCUUGUGCAGAGCUUGCAGACAGUAUUGUUCAAUGUGGCCGUAGUACCCUUGAAAAGGCAAUUUCAUUUGUGAAUGCACAUGAUAAAUGGAAAGCUAAAGUUAUUUAUGGUGAUGCUGACAGCUAGUUUGUCCUCCUCAAAGGAUGCACGGUCAAAGAGUCUUUUCGAAUUGGGAAUGAGAUUGCCUCUGCAAUCACUGCUAUGAAUCCAAACCCAGUCACUUUGAAAAUGGAGAAAGUAUAUCAUCCAUGCUUCCUCCUUACUAAGAAAUGCUAUGUUGGUUACAGUUAUGAGAGCCCAGAACAGUCUGAACCUGUAUUUGAUGCUAAAGGCAUUGAGACAGUACACAGGGAUACAUGUGGAGCUGUUUCCAAGACACUGGAGAAGUCGUUGAGACUCUUUUUUGAACAUCGGAACACUUUUGAACUUAAAGCAUAUUUGCAGCGCCAAUGGACCGGGAUUCUAUCUGGCAGGGUUUCUCUUCAGGAUUUUGUUUAUGCAAAGGAGGUUCGAUUAGGUACCUACUUUACAAGGAGCUCUUCAUCUCUCCCACCAGCAGCGAUGAGAGCUGAUCCAAGGGCAGAACCACGCUAUGCAGAGCGAAUACCUUAUGUUGUAAUCCAUGGGGAGCCAGGGGCCCGCCUCAUUGAUAUGGUUGUGGAUCCAUUGGAACUUUUGGCAAUGGAUUCCCCCUUUAGAUUAAAUGAUUUAUAUUACAUCAACAAACAAAUAAUCCCUGCUUUGCAGCGGGUAUUUGGACUUGUUGGAGCUGACUUGAUCUGGUGGUUUAUAGAGAUGCCCUGCCCAGUCAGGGAAGCCUUUGCUAAACGCCCCUUCUCUGCUCCAAAUGCACAACGAACUAGAAUUGAUUAUUACUAUCUCUCAAAACAUUGUAUACUUUGUGGUGAGUUGGUCCAGGCAUCAGCCCAUAUUUACAAUCAAAGUUUGCAAAAGGGUGCUUCUGCUGCAGCAGCUGUGAUUGGAAGAACUUCAAAAUUGGAGAGAGAGAGAUGCAACACCUUGCUGCUAUUUGUUGACAUUGUAGAGGCGGUGACUGGGUUGUGGAAAGUGGAGUCAAGUGCACUUCACUAGCGUGCUCAAUGUUUUAUGAGAGGCAGAAAGUUCAGAAAGAACUACAAAGUCUUUCUUCUGUUGCUGCAGAUGAAGGUUUCUACCUGAAAUGUAUGGUUGAGUGGUUUUAAGCACUAGUCAUUCCAACAUGUUCUUUGACAGUGGGAAUUGAAAGGAAGGAUUUUCCUUGUUCAAUAUUCUCCACUCCACACAUAUCUCCAUUCUUUGAAUGAGGUUACUGUUGUACUUGUACAUACCUUCUUCUUUACUUAGUCCUGUGUUGUAAGUUGUAUUUUGUGUUUUUUAGGUGAUUAAUCAUAUGUUGUAUAUAACAAAGUCUGAUGCCCAAUGUAAUCCUCUGUUUUGCUGUGAUGUUAAUACUGUGCCUUGCUCAUACAAAAGUGGUCAAUGCUAGUAACCCACAAGACUCUUAUGCGUUGUUUUUUUGUACUUAUACAUAGCAACAAAGAAGUCUGAUGCCCAAUGUA